UCAAACUUGGUCAUUUAGAGGAAGUAAAAGUCGUAACAAGGUCUCCGUUGGUGAACCAGCGGAGGGAUCAUUACUGAGUUACCGCUCCAUAACCCUUUGUGAACAUACCUAUAACCGUUGCUUCGGCGGGCGGCGCGGCCACUGCGGCCCGCCCCCCCGGCCCCGCUCCGCGGGGUGCCCGCCGGAGGAUAACCAAACUCUGAUUUAACGACGUUUCUUCUGAGUGGCACAGGCAAAUAAUCAAAACUUUUAACAACGGAUCUCUUGGUUCUGGCAUCGAUGAAGAACGCAGC
rnacentral:misc_RNA from 1 species